AGAACGAACGUUGGCGGCGUGGAUUAGGCAUGCAAGUCGAACGAGAACCGGGUAGCAAUACCUGGGGAAAGUGGCGAAAGGGGCAGUAAGGCGUGGAUAACCUACCCUGGGGAUGGGCAUAGCCGGUCUAACGGCCGAGUAAUUCCCAGCGAUGUAGUUGGCGGGCAUCCGUUGACUACGAAACGAGUUUCGCCUCGGGAGGGUUCACGUGGUAUUAGCUAGUUGGUGAGGUAAUGGCUCACCAAGGCAAAGAUGCCUAGCGGGUGUGAGAGCACGACCCGCGCCACUGGCACUGAGACACUGGCCAGACUCCUACGGGAGGCUGCAGUCGAGGAUCUUCGGCAAUGGGCGCAAGCCUGACCGAGCGACGCCGCGUGUGCGAUGAAGGCCUUCGGGUUGUAAAGCACUGUCGAGGGGGAGGAAGCCCGCAAGGGUUGACCUAUCCCUGGAGGAAGCACGGGCUAAGUUCGUGCCAGCAGCCGC
rnacentral:rRNA from 1 species